rnacentral:rRNA from 1 species
ACAUGCCUACAACAUAGCGUUAAUGCAUCGGAUCCCAUUAGAACUCCACAGUUAAGUGUGCUCGGUCUAGAGUAGUACUGGGAUGGGUGACCUCUCGGGAAGUACUAGUAUUUCACAUGCC